AUUGAACGCUGGCGGCAUGCCUUACACAUGCAAGUCGAACGCGAAAGGGGGGCAACCCCUGAGUAGAGUGGCGCACGGGUGAGUAAUGCAUCGGAACGUGUCCUGUAGCGGGGGAUAACCUAGCGAAAGCUAGGCUAAUACCGCAUACGUCCUAAGGGAGAAAGUGGGGGAUCGUAAGACCUCACACUAUAGGAGCGGCCGAUGCCGGAUUAGCUAGUUGGUGGGGUAAAAGCUCACCAAGGCGACGAUCCGUAGCUGGUCUGAGAGGAUGAUCAGCCACACUGGGACUGAGACACGGCCCAGACUCCUACGGGAGGCAGCAGUGGGGAAUUUUGGACGAUGGGGGAAACCCUGAUCCAGCCAUGCCGCGUGAGUGAAGAAGGCCUUCGGGUUGUAAAGCUCUUUCGGCCGGGACGAAAUCGUACCUUCCAACACAAGGUGCGGAUGACGGUACCGGCAGAAGAAGGACCGGCUAACUACGUGCCAGCAGCCGCCGUAA
rnacentral:rRNA from 1 species